rnacentral:rRNA from 1 species
UAGGGAAUCUUCGGCAAUGGACGGAAGUCUGACCGAGCAACGCCGCGUGAGUGAAGAAGGUUUUCGGAUCGUAAAGCUCUGUUGUAAGAGAAGAACGAGUGUGAGAGUGGAAAGUUCACACUGUGACGGUAUCUUACCAGAAAGGGACGGCUAACUACGUGCCAGCAGCCGCGGUAAUACGUAGGUCCCGAGCGUUGUCCGGAUUUAUUGGGCGUAAAGCGAGCGCAGGCGGUUAGAUAAGUCUGAAGUUAAAGGCUGUGGCUUAACCAUAGUACGCUUUGGAAACUGUUUAACUUGAGUGCAAGAGGGGAGAGUGGAAUUCCAUGUGUAGCGGUGAAAUGCGUAGAUAUAUGGAGGAACACCGGUGGCGAAAGCGGCUCUCUGGCUUGUAACUGACGCUGAGGCUCGAAAGCGUGGGGAGCAAACAGGAUUAGAUACCCUGGUAGUCCACGCCGUAAACGAUGAGUGCUAGGUGUUAGACCCUUUCCGGGGUUUAGUGCCGUAGCUAACGCAUUAAGCACUCCGCCUGGGGAGUACGACCGCAAGGNUG